rnacentral:lncRNA from 1 species
GGCACAUCUCCUCUCCCUACCAUUAAAUGUGCAGUAAAUGUGCACCAUCCUUCCAUUCAGAGGCCUGUCUUGGACCCAUUCAUUGGCUAUGAUGAAGACUCCAUGGAUUCAGAGACAUCAUCCAUGGCCUCAUUUAGAACAGACCGGACACCAGCGACUCCUGAUGAUGACUUGGAUGAAAGUUUAGCAGCUGAAGAAUCAGAGCUACGAUUUAGACAAUUAACGAAAGAAUACCAGGCACUCCAAAGAGCAUAUGCCCUCCUACAAGAGCAGACCGGAGGCAUCAUCGAUGCAGAACGGGAAGCCAAGGUCAGUGCCCAGCAGUGGAGAGAGAGCUGUCACUUUGCUAAAAGAGUUUAAAUAUUAAUCUGGUGAUAAAGGGACCCAGAAGGAACCUUCAGCAAGA